rnacentral:ribozyme from 1 species
AACAAAUUUACAUAACUAUUCGGAAACAUGCUACAGACCUAUACUCGCCUACUAUAGGCUCUCCUUCUCAACUCCUACUCAAUACGUCCACGACGUGCAGAACGGUAACUUGUCGCCUAGAUAUCUAAGCUUGGGUACACGGGGAAACCCAACCCCUGGGGCGGAUGGGCAGCAAGGCUGAAUUGAGAGGU